rnacentral:rRNA from 1 species
AGCUUGACUGCGAGCGUGACGGCGCGAGCAGGUGCGAAAGCAGGUCAUAGUGAUCCGGUGGUUCUGAAUGGAAGGGCCAUCGCUCAACGGAUAAAAGGUACUCCGGGGAUAACAGGCUGAUACCGCCCAAGAGUUCAUAUCGACGGCGGUGUUUGGCACCUCGAUGUCGGCUCAUCACAUCCUGGGGCUGAAGUAGGUCCCAAGGGUAUGGCUGUUCGCCAUUUAAAGUGGUACGCGAGCUGGGUUUAGAACGUCGUGAGACAGUUCGGUCCCUAUCUGCCGUGGGCGCUGGAGAAUUGAGGGGGGCUGCUCCUAGUACGAGAGGACCGGAGUGGACGCAUCACUGGUGUUCGGGUUGUCAUGCCAAUGGCACUGCCCGGUAGCUAAAUGCGGAAGAGAUAAGUGCUGAAAGCAUCUAAGCACGAAACUUGCCCCGAGAUGAGUUCUCCCUGAGACUUUAAGUCUCCUGAAGGAACGUUGAAGACGACGACGUUGAUAGGCCGGGUGUGUAAGCGCAGCGAUGCGUUGAGCUAACCGGUACUAAUGAACCGUGAGGCUUAACCUU